UAGGGAAUAUUGCAAAAUGGGCGAAAGCCCGAUGCAGCAACGCCGCGUGGGCGAUGAAGGCCUUCGGGUCGUAAAGCCCUUUUUGAGGGGAUGAGGAAGGACUGUACCCUCAGAGAAAGCCCCGGCUAACUACGUGCCAGCAGCCGCGGUAAUACGUAGGGGGCAAGCGUUGUCCGGAUUUACUGGGUGUAAAGGGCGCGCAGGCGGGAUAAAAAGUCAGUGGUGAAAUCCUACAGCUUAACUGUAGAACUGCCUUUGAUACUUUUAUUCUUGAGUUCGGGAGAGAGAGACGGAAUUCCAGGUGUAGUGGUGAAAUACGUAGAUAUCUGGAAGAACACCAGUUGCGAAGGCGGUCUCUUGGUCCGACACUGACGCUGAGGCGCGAAAGCGUGGGGAGCAAACA
rnacentral:rRNA from 1 species